rnacentral:misc_RNA from 1 species
UUAGUCGGCGGCUCACGGCUCAGUGAUUCAUUCAUUUCUAACCUGCGGCAUACUAUUUUGCUCCCUGGAGUUUUCUAGAAAUGAGAAAGACGUAACGAACCUUUUAGAGACACACUGGAGGUUUCAUGUUAUGCAUAGUACGUUGGCAUGCCACCUGAAAGGAAGAGAACAGGUUGUGAAUCUUGAAAUAAACGACGAUCGAGUUUCGGCACUUGAGUUGUUGUGCCCCGCGGAGUGAAAUUUUAUUGAUUCUAAUUCAGUUAGCAUUGCUUCAAAACUGGACUGCAAAAGAGAAAAGUUGGGUUAGGUCUAAUCACUGAAGAAGAAAUGAAUGCGUAGCAAACACUCAAAAUCAUUAAACAUGGACUCCGGCGCCUUGGGGGACGGUACACUGGCCGCAAGUGGAAGGGUGCUUUCUUCAAAGCAGCGAGCCCCUCCCCCACCACAGAAGGCCAUAAAAUGUGAUCCAGUGGACGUAGAGAUACAAGAAGAUGAUAUUCCAAAAACCUUGAGUACAACACAUCGCAAAGCUUUACUAAAACAAUCACAGGAUCGAGCUAAAGAGCCCCAAGCUCUAGUGUUUAGGAAACUUGAUGAUCAUGACAGUGAUCAGGGGGGUGGAUUAAAAGCGAAGCCUGGCAGCGAGCAAAAGGUGUCACUUGCACAUGCUGGAGAAAAACUUUUGGCAACAUUUUAUGGAAUGCUUUACACUAAUGACAGCGCUGAAAAAGAAUGGAAACUUGAGGUGGAUGGAUUCCUUCCCAUUUGCUUUGUUCAGGUCCAAGGAAAUGCGAACAAGCCAUUCAGAAUUAUUGCCGUUGGGAAGUCAAAAAGAAUAAUGGAGUACCAGGUGAAUGUAAAUACAACUUGUGCAAGGAACUCAACAUUUGUCAAGUGGCAGGAUGGAGUGUCAAUGUUUGGCAUACGUUUUGCUAAAGAAGAUCAAGCUGAACAGUUCUUAACCACAGUGAAGAGAAUGGCCUCCACUUUAAAUAAAGCUGCAUUACUUCUGAAGCAGCCAGAAAGAAAGGCCGUAAUAAGACAGAUAUCUGAUCCUGAUUCAACAAGUAAUGUACAGCAUACCAAAGUAUCACUGAUGAUCAAACUUCCUGAUAAACAGUCAACAGUCAUGUCUGUUCCUGGACUGUUGACAAUGAGUGAGCUGUUUGAAAUGAUUUGCGAAAAGGAAAAUCUCAUUCCUGCCGAGCAUCAGUUGUCUUUGCCAAGAACAGGAGCAAGAAAAGUAACCUUUGACUCUGGUACAGCCAUUGGUUCAUUGAAGAUCAGGGAAGUUGCGAUUAUAAGAACAGUGAUGACUUCACAAAACAUUGCUGGGAGUGUCAAGGUUGAAGAUGAAUCUGUAGAGGAUUUACUUGAUGCAGAAGGAGAGGAGAAUAAAAUUCUUCAACUUAUCCUGCCAAACGGAGUGAAGAAAUCAUACCGUGUGUCUCUGGACAUGACAAUGAAGCAGUUGGUGAUGCGAGUGUGUUCACGGGAGGGCCUCAACCCUCGUCAUCACUCUCUACAGGAAAUAGACUUCAAACAUGAGUUCCUUGAAGCAGGCAGUACUGUUGAUGAAAUUGGUGUCAGUCAAGUUAGAUUAAUAGAUAAAAGAGCUCUAAAGCGUAACAGCCUUACAAUAAUCAAGGCCUCUGUAACCGAUGAUGACUCGCCAUCUAAUUCCCCACAUAACCGUAAACACAGGAAAAGCUGUGGCGACGGGUUGGAGUUAGAUUCGUCUGCAACGAUCGAGGGAGACAAGGAAAACAAGAUGUCGUGGCAGCAGAGAAGCAAAUCGUUAGAAGUACUUGUAGAUGAGAAACAGAAUAAUGCGUUGUCCCAGCAGAAUGGACACAUUACCAAAGAGGAUUCUCAGAAGCACUCUGCGUCUAAUGGCUCAGUUCCAACAAAAGAGAGAAGAAACUCCAGUGAAGCAACUACGAUAAAAAAGCCGCCAAUCCCUCCCUUACCUUACGCUUACAAGUUUGCGAAUCUAAAGCAAAACCAGCCUGGUAACCUGACAAAUGGAGCGUUACGAGAUCAAGACCUGAGCCCAAUUAAAAAGAACGGUGUAACGUCCGCUUCCACUCCAGAUCUGAGUACUAUUUCAUCGCGAUCAGACUCUCCUGACAUCAAGACAUCCACACCGGAUACUAAGAGCAGACGCAGAGCGGCUCCGCCUCCUCCCCCGCGUCCAGCAGCUCCUAAGGCGUUAUUUACGGGUGUGAAAUCUGAGACACAAGUUGAUGGCGCUGGAGUGGCCGUGAAAGCUAAUAAUCCCCCUCCUGUGGCUAGCUCUAAUGCGUGUCAUACACCAGCUGUAGGCGACGUGAAGUUGAAGCCGAGUCACAAGAAACGACCUGCACCUCCGCGGCCGGACCGCCCCACUCCCCCACAGCCUGCACCAAGACUAGCGAAGCAGGGAUCACGGGAGAGUAAAGUAGUUAAUGGAAUAGGUAGAGAGAAGGAAGUGAGCGUUCGGUUGAAACAAGAUAAGGAAGCAAGAAGCAUUGAUCGUGCUUCACUGUCAUUGGACCUUGAAACGAAUCGUCACUCUCUAGACAAGGAACCCGAACAGGAUGAAUUGAGCGACUUGAGGGGUAUCCCCAUAUUUGUUCCUCCUCCCCCUCCGGAUGAAUUACCUCCCCCGCUGGACGAGUGUGAGACCCCGGUUGGACCAUUGACGGAUUUUGAAGCGGAUAUACUUGAAGGCUCCGCGAGUGACGAUUUUCCCGGAACACUCAACGGUUAUGUAGGCAUGCAGAAUAUUGGAAUGUUUCCUGGUCACGGUGCUAAUGAUUCACGAGCUCCAACUUUGCUAAAGUCAAGACAGGAGACUGCUCUCGAGUCGGUCCCUGAACAAGGUUACGUCCCUGAUGGAAAAGAUCUAUUUCCUGUCGUUCCACCUCCUCCGCUUUAUUCUGAACCCGAGUCUUCAAGCUUAACUGAUAUUCCACCUCCGUUAUUAGAAACCCAGACAAUACAAACGAGCCAAGAGGGUGAAGAAAAGGAACAUGAUUCAGGGUUCGAUCAGAGCCCCGAGCACCUUAUUGUAACUCCUCCUGAAGACCUGUCGGAUGAUGUCCAAGUAGGGCACUUGGAGGAACCUGAUACUGGAUCCAGUUUGGACGUCAUUAGUGCCAUUCCACCACCGGCGGAUUUUGAAACGCCUCCACUUACCCCUCCCUGUCAGUUUGCUAAUCCUAACGUGGUACCCCUAGAGGGGUUUCUUAAUUCUGUGGAAGAUGAUAAGAAAGAAGAACCAGAAAAAGAAAAACCUCGAAAGAAACUCGACAUCAGUGAAGGUUUAUUUCCAUGGAUGAACGAGCCUCAAGCGCCCGUCAAUGCCGUUAUACCGGUGGACGAACCUAAGGCCACAGAGGAUGAUAUGAUUGUUAAGAUAGACAUAGGAUAUACUGCCCCUGCUAAUGAAAAUCAAAAAGACUCUACUGAGACCAUGGCACAUCCUACAUCACCAAGUGUCGAUGCUCCAAAUGCAAGUGUCACUACAGAUGUGGAUUUUAGGCCGGUACCUCACGAAGAUGAAAAACCUGCAAGGCCAGAACUAGAAGUCAAACAGAAUGUCGUGCCAGUAAUACCUGAAGUGAGCGUAGAAGCAAAGCCUAGCGUGGAAUUACAGCGGAGUUCGAUCGGUGACCAGAUCAAGGAAUCAUUGCAAAAACCAAAGAUAAUUGAAUCAAGCCAAAUUGAAGCUAAAACAAUCAUGGUUACAAAUGAGAAUUCCAAGGAAUCAGGAUCACAACAAGUUUUGGACACGACUAUAAAACCGGGUGAACCAGAAACUACCGCCAAGGCAGUUGAGUUUGUCAAGGAAAUGGAAGUUAAAGUUGAACCAGAUGUUGAUGUUGAACAGUAUGCACGCUCGUCGUUUACUCCAACCAUAGAAGCUGCGAGACCAGAACCACAGGUGAAACCUGCAAAACCGGAUUUGCAAGGUAAACCUGGAAAACCAGAAACCAAAGCUAAGCCAGUUCCGGUUGUCCGAGAAGCGGAAGUUAAAGUUGAACAGUUCCAGUCCUCGUCAGCUAAGACUCCUGUUGGACCAGAUCCUUUGCUUGACCUUGCCAUACUAGAAAAUCAAAUAAAACCGGACAAACCAGACCGAAUAAUUAUACCAGCCACGGUCAUUAAAGAACCAGAAAUCCAGCAGCCUGCGCCCUCAAAACCCGCAGGGACACAACCCAUAAAACCGGAACAACAAGUUAAACCUGAAAAACCAGAAAAAACAGUGAAGCCAGUUCCGUUUUUCAAAGAAGCGGGCGUGAAAGUUGAUGUUCAAGCGCCCGCUCUCUCGUCAUUUAAUCCAUCCACAGAACCCGCAAGGCUGGACCCUCAGGUUUUACCAGAAAAACAAGAAUGCAUCAAUGCAAGUCCUGUUGAAGAAAUUAUAGCGCCACGGUCCAAACCUGAAGUAGAAAUGUAUGUAAAGACGCUUCCAGAUGAAACGCAUGAUCUUUCUGUACAAGAGACUCCCAUUAAGAUUGUAACUGUUGGAAAGCAGGAUUUUGUAGCAGAGGCCCCUGUUACUCCAGAAACAAAACCUAUUUCUGGUUCAGAUGACAAACUGAAGGAUUUAGAAGCAAAGCUGCAGGAGUUAGAUCAAGAACCUGUGCCUUCUUCGAGUGAAUUGAAAACACUGGAGAGCAAGACAACUCCUUUAGUUUACAAGGAAGUCGAACCUGUAGUCCAAACGAAAGAUCCUUCCUCUGAAGAGGUGAUCGUGGCUGAGACUAAACAAGUGGAGUUCUCAAGUUAUGGACAUUUUGAGAAGCUGUUUAAGAUAGACUCUGACGAGCAACGUACAAAAGAAAAUGCUCGUGUCCAGGACAAAGAAGACAAGACUGACGCCGUUACGGAAAUACAGUGCGUUCAACCUGAGAGCGCUUCAUCGCACGUAGAAGAAAAGCCGGAGCUCAGUUUAGAUCUGUCAUCUUUAAGGCAAUCUUCUGAACCGCCCUGCCCUCCUUCUUCUUCACCACCGGCUGUUUCACCUCGCUCGUCCAGCUUACCCUCCCCUGUAGCACUUGACAGUGCCCGGUCGACUGAUUCUGGGUUUGCGACUCUUGAGAAGCCCAAGAGCCCCUCUUCACUUGACAGUAAACCGCUCGGGCCCACCCCGCUCAGCAACUCGGCGGACAAGACUGCAGGAUGGACAAGCGUGUCAAUUACUGCGGGUGUAUCGAAGCCUCCCGCAUCACAAACAGAGGAACAAACAGCAGGUAUACAUGGAAAACCGCCUACAGCAAAAAAACCUAUAAACGUAAAGCUUCAGCGGCCGCUGAGUAUGCCAGCAGGAAUUCUGAGAGACUUCAAGAGCGGUACUGUGCAAGACCAAACCAAAUCUGAAGAGUCUGAUGUAAGGGAGAGCAAUGCUGGUCAAGAGAAAAGUAAAUUGGCAAAAUCUGAUUCAAGAACAUCCAAUUCGUCUGACUCUAGUGGGAUUUCCUCGCCUUCACCGGCGUCGUCUCCUAUUCAAAUGUCCGCUACAGACUCUGAAGAUAUGCCCAAGCCUCCUCCUUUCACUGUUCCGCCGCUCCGCCGCUACUCCGACCUCGCAGCUGAUCUAAGCUUCAUCUCAUCGGCAGCUAAGGCAGCAGAGAAAGCGAACGAGUCUGAAUCCAAAGCAGACGUUCCUCCGAAGCCCCCGAAUAUGCUACUGAGGAGAAACCCUGGUACGGCUCCUGUAGAGAGACCCAGGAGCUGGGUGGGACCAGAAACAGAGACUAAGCAGAGACCCAGGGUGUGGUCGUCAGCGUUUAAACCGGUUUCAUUUGAUGCACAAGCAAAGAAAGGCGUGAGGCCAGUUGAUUUCCAAGCGAAAUCCUCUCCUGCACCUCCUGCAGUUCCAAGCAAGCCUACUGUCCCAUCAGCAGCACACUCCACUGCGUCACUGCAUAGCGAAGCUCCAGUGACAGGAACAUUAGAAACAAAGCAACCCGAUAACACCACACAAAAAGAUGUUGAAAAGUCUCCGAAGACAGCUCCCUUGGUCCUGGGUAAGCCUUCAGUGGUUUCAGCGGGUAAACCCACAGCUCCUGUGGUUUCGAUGUCAGCCAGGGAGGAACAAUCUUCUAGUAAUCAAGUUGUAAAGUCUGACUCCAAGGUAGAGAGGACGCCAAGUCAUCCUCUGGCGAAGAAAACAGACUCUGGAAAAACCAAAUAUGAAAUUAUCUACUCUAACACUUCGUCCACGUCCCAAGGCGCUCCAAAAGUGCAAAGUGACAAAACCGAUGGUGGAUCUCACAUUUCCUCCAAAUAUAUGUACAACGCUGCUGCAUUACGUGACCAGAUAAUGCGUGACCAGUCACGGGCUCAGAACAAAGUAACGCGAGAUAGGCCUCAGUCGGCCAUUUUUAGUGGUUCCAAGUUCCAGAUACUGCCUGCCAAUGAAAAGUCGCAGAGCAACAAUGGCAUGCCUUCAACAGAUGCCAAGAAACCUCCUACAAUCCAAGCUAAAGGAGUGUCUUGGACACACACUAAACAGCAAACGAAUGACCACAGCAGCAGCAAGCCAGACAUGCCACCUCCUCAACCCUCAGCUAAGCCACAGCCACCUGUGAAGUCAGCAGUAGCAGACAGUAAGCCGCUCCCGGCUGUGGUGAUGAGAACCAAGACCGCGGAACAACAGGACCCCACUAAGAGACAUUCGCUGCCUACCUAUAUUAUCGAGGGAGCUGAUCGGAAGCCACCAGUCAAGACGACUUGCAACAAGGAGGGCAAUUUUAAUUUCAUCUUGGAGGAGGCACAGACAGACACAACUGUGGUGCCUCGCGGAGUUGUAGCAGCCAUGAAAGCCUUGAGGGAGAAAGGGGGAAUAACGGAAGGAGAAUGAAAGAAAAUGUCCUUGAAUCUCAUGAAAUACGCAGUGGGUCCAAGAACUAUCACUCUUGAUCCUUCUGUUUACAACACGAAACCACGUCAAGUAAUCAGUACUGGGUGUAAAUAAUCUCAUUCUUGUUUAGUUAUAGGUGACUAAAAAUUGCUGUGCAUAGUCGGUGAACUAGCGUUAUUUUAUAGUUCUAAUGCAGUAGAACACGUUAAACUUGCGGUCAAAAUCAACAGCCGUGGGGAUAAGAAAAUCGAUUUGUAAACAUAGUGGUGGUUAAAAAAUUUAGAAUUAUACCUAGCUUAAAAGCUUUUGUUGUCUGAUGUUUAUUUCUAGGGUGGUGGUUGAGAAUGUUUCUUUUUCAAAAUGUUUGCCAAAUAUAAUUGCCAUGCUUUUAUACAAAGUAGGAUUAAAGAUUUUCUUUCCAUUCCGUGUUAUCGGAAAUCUGUUCCAAAGCGGCUGUUGGUACACGUGUAUUGGUAUGAGUAGAGUCAGGAGUCGUACCACAAGUUUGUUAGAUGAAACUGGCAAAGUAAAGAUUAUCGUGAUCACGUUACCUUAGUAACAAAGAUUGCAAGGGCUUGCCAAAUACUGGUAUGUCAUUUCCAUUUUCAGCCAUAUUGAGGUCCUUCUGUUAUUCGUAUGAAGGAGCAGAAAUUAUUUUAUUUCCGGAGGGAAUGUUUGCAAGCAAUAUCUUAAUAUAUAAUUUCAGUUCUUGGAAAGGUGUAUAUGUUCUCUUGUCUUGCAUACAAACCUCCUUGAAAGGUGAUUAUGAUUAUGAUCUAUUCCACCCAUGUAGGGGUGGGGUAGCUAAGAUUUUUGUUGUCAUGAAUGAUACGAGAAAUUGAACGGUUCUCUGUUCAGCGUUCUAUAAUCUUGGGCAUGCUCAAGAAGGACCUCUGUGAAGGUGAUUAUGAUGAUGAUCUAUUCCAGCCAUGUAGGGGUGGGGUAGCUAAGAUUUUUGUUGUCAUGAAUGAUACGAGAAAUUGAACGGUUCUUUGUUCAGCGUUCUAUAAUCUUGGGCAUGCUCAAGAAGGACCUCUUUGAAAGGUGAUUAUGAUUAUGAUCUAUUCCAGCCAUGUAGGGGUGGGGUAGAUUGUUUUUUCCAAGAAUGUAACGGUUCUCUGUUCAGCGUUCUUUUUUCGUCAGUUUCAACUUUAUUUUGGGCGAAGUUAAAAAUGUUCAAGUUAUUUCGCAAAUAAUUCAUGGGUGUAAAAUAAUAAUCAUCAUCAUUGAGCAAAUCAAAAGUGUAAAUACGUAGAUAUACACAACACAAAAGAACCAGUUAAGAAUUUAUUUAUAUUAUUUGCAAGAAUGAACAGGGCUUUAUUAACUGAAGAGAAAUGAUAUGGCCGGAAAGGAAAAGAAAACUGCGAAGGAGUGUAGAAGGCAGCUUUGUUUGUUUUCCUUGAAAUGUCAUAGACGAGUUUGUUGAGCCAGUUUUCAUUUGUGAGGAAAGUUUAUACCUGGUACAUACACUGUAUCGCUAUAUAUCACUGAAUGAAAAUUUAUGACGUAUGUAGGUAAAAGUAUCGCAGCUUUUGUAUGACUGAAUUGAGAAAUAAUAUUUGUGAUUAAUUUUGCUACCACUGUAAAGCGUUGGAUAAAGAGAAUUAUUUUGUUUACAUUUUUCUUUUCAAUGAAAUUGAAGUCUUCGGCAUAUCCACAUCGUUGAUUGUAUAAAAUGUGGAAUGUUUGUGAUUAAAAUGUUUUGUAACAUUGCAUAGCUCCGAUACAGAUAAAAAUAACUAUUUUGUGCUAUUAGAUAGAAACAAAUAAAUAAAGAGGUCAUCAAUCUUUCUAUUAA